GAUGAACGCUGGCGGCGUGCCUAAUACAUGCAAGUCGAGCGAACGGACGAGAAGCUUGCUUCUCUGAUGUUAGCGGCGGACGGGUGAGUAACACGUGGAUAUCCUACCUAUAAGACUGGGAUAACUUCGGGAAACCGGAGCUAAUACCGGAUAAUAUUUUGAACCGCAUGGUUCAAAAGUGAAAGACGGUCUUGUUGUCACUUAUAGAUGGAUCCGCGCUGCAUUAGCUAGUUGGUAAGGUAACGGCUUACCAAGGCAACGAUGCAUAGCCGACCUGAGAGGGUGAUCGGCCACACUGGAACUGAGACACGGUCCAGACUCCUACGGGAGGCAGCGGUAGGGAAUCUUCCGCAAUGGGCGAAAGCCUGACGGAGCAACGCCGCGUGAGUGAUGAAGGUCUUCGGAUCGUAAAACUCUGUUAUUAGGGAAGAACAUACGUGUAAGUAACUGUGCACAUCUUGACGGUACCUAAUCAGAAAGCCACGGCUAACUACGUG
rnacentral:rRNA from 1 species